rnacentral:rRNA from 1 species
GACGAACGCUGGCGGCGUGCCUAAUACAUGCAAGUUGAGCGCUGAAGGUUGGUACUUGUCCCGACUGGAUGAGCAGCGAACGGGUGAGUAGCGCGUGGGGAAUCUGCCUUUGAGCGGGGGACAACAUUUGGAAACGAAUGCUAAUACCGCAUAAAAACUUUAAACACAAGUUUUAAGUUUGAAAGAUGCAAUUGCAUCACUCAAAGAUGAUCCCGCGUUGUAUUAGCUAGUUGGUGAGGUAAAGGCUCACCAAGGCGAUGAUACAUAGCCGACCUGAGAGGGUGGUCGGCCACAUUGGGACUGAGACACGGCCCAAACUCCUACGGGAGGCAGCAGUAGGGAAUCUUCGGCAAUGGACGAAAGUCUGACCGAGCAACGCCGCGUGAGUGAAGAAGGUUUUCGGAUCGUAAAACUCUGUUGGUAGAGAAGAACGUUGGUGAGAGUGGAAAGCUCAUCAAGUGACGGUAACUACCCAGAAAGGGACGGCUAACUACGUG